rnacentral:rRNA from 1 species
UACGUAGGGUGCAAGCGUUGUCCGGAAUUAUUGGGCGUAAAGAGCUCGUAGGCGGUUUGUCGCGUCUGCCGUGAAAGCCCGGGGCUCAACUCCGGAUCUGCGGUGGGUACGGGCAGACUAGAGUGAUGUAGGGGAGACUGGAAUUCCUGGUGUAGCGGUGAAAUGCGCAGAUAUCAGGAGGAACACCGAUGGCGAAGGCAGGUCUCUGGGCAUUAAUUGACGCUGAGGAGCGAAAGCAUGGGGAGCGAACAGG